UGCUCGUGUUGCCCAAGUAUUUUAUGCCU
rnacentral:piRNA from 1 species